rnacentral:misc_RNA from 1 species
UGGAACACCUCCUUUCUAGAGACAAAAAAAAGAAGCUAUUUUUUAAUUUAGAUACUAAAUUAAAAAAACUUACUCUCGCUGUUAAUUCAAAAAAAAGAAAAGGCUUAAAAUACAGAGUCUCGUAGCUCAGCUGGUUAGAGUACUACACUGAUAAUGUAGGGGUCGGCAGUUCGAGUCUGCCCGGGACUACUUUUUAAAGCACAAGGAAAUUCUAGAAGCGAAUUUUGAAUUAUAAAUUUUAAAUGAUGAAUUUGAAAAAUAAUUCAAAAAAAUAAUUCAACAUCCAAAAUAGAAAAAAGAUUGGGGGAUUAGCUCAGCUGGCUAGAGCGCCUGCCUUGC